GAUGAACGCUGGCGGCGUGCUUAACACAUGCAAGUCGAACGGAAAGGCUCCUUCUUGCUGGGGUCCUCGAGUGGAGCACGGGUGAGUAUAACGCGGGUGAUCUGUCCUGCACUUCGGGAUACGACUGGGGAACAGGGUCGCUUAUCGGAUAGGACGAUGGUAUGCAUGAGAUUGUGGAUAGUAUUUUGGUGUGGGAUGAGCUCGCGGUGUAUCAGCUUGUUGGUGGGGUAAUGGCGUACCAAGGCGUCGACACGUAGCCGACAUGAGAGGGAGAUCGGCCACAUUGGGACUGAGACACGGCCCAAACUCCUACGGGAGGCAGCAGUAGGGAAUCUUCGGCAAUGGACGAAAGUCUGACCGAGCAACGCCGCGUGAGUGAAGAAGGUUUUCGGAUCGUAAAACUCUGUUGGUAGAGAAGAACGUUGGUGAGAGUGGAAAGCUCAUCAAGUGACGGUAACUACCCAGAAAGGGACGGCUAACUACGUG
rnacentral:rRNA from 1 species